rnacentral:rRNA from 1 species
CCCUACGGGGUGCAGCAGGCGCGCAAACUUUACAAUGCGAGCAAUCGUGAUAAGGAAACCCUGAGUGCCUGUCGAUGCAGGCUGUUCAUAUAUCUAAAUCAUAUGUGAAGAAAGGGCAGGGCAAGACCGGUGCCAGCCGCCGCGGUAAUACCGGCUGCUCGAGUGAUGGCCACUAUUACUGGGUUUAAAGCGUCCGUAGCUUGACUGUUAGGUCUCUUGGGAAAUCUUCACGCUCAACGUGAAGGCGUCUAAGAGAUACCGGCAGUCUUGGAACUGGGAGAGGUAAACCGUACUUCGGGGGUAGGAGUGAAAUCUUGUAAUCCUCGAGGGACGACCUAUGGCGAAGGCAGUUUACCAGAACAGCUUCGACAGUGAGGGACGAAAGCUGGGGGAGCAAACGGGAUUAGAUACCCCGGUAGUCCCAGCCGUAAACAAUGUGCGUUAGGUGUGUCGGUAACCACGUGUUACUGAUGCGCCGAAGAGAAAUCGUGAAACGCACCACCUGGGAAGUACGGUCGCAAGGCUGAAACUUAAAGGAAUUGGCGGGGGAGCACCACAACAGGUGGAGCCUGCGGUUUAAUUGGAUUCAACGCCGGACAUCUCACCGGAUAAGACAGCUGAAUGAUUGUCAAUCUGAAGGUUUUACAUGACUAGCUGAGAGGAAGUGCA